rnacentral:rRNA from 1 species
GACAGAGGCCUCAAGCGUUAGGCGGAAUCACUGGGCUUAAAGCGUGUGUAGGCGGAUCGUUAAGUGUCUUGUGAAAUCCCACGGCUCACCCGUGGAACUGCUGGGCAUACUGGCGGUCUUGAGCAACCUAGGGGCGAGCGGAACAAAUGGUGGAGCGGUGAAAUGCGUAGAUAUCAUUUGGAACGCCAAUGGUGAAAACAGCUCGCUGGGGGUUUGCUGACGCUGAGACACGAAAGCCAGGGGAGCAAACGGG